GGGGUUGUGGCUCAGUGGUAGAGUGCUUACCUAGCAUGUGUGAGGCACUGGGUUUGAUCCUCAGCACCACA
rnacentral:tRNA from 1 species